rnacentral:misc_RNA from 1 species
UACACCAUCAAGCACCGCUUGGCAUUGGGCCUCGUCCCCGCUGUGGACGGGCCCUGAAACCCUUGGCGAUGGCGUGUGGGCCUCAAGCGUAGUAGAACUCUAUCCCGCUUACAGAGGCCCUGCGACGUUCGCUUCCAAAGACCCAAUUCAACAAAGG